rnacentral:lncRNA from 1 species
ACUAAGAAACAAUCAUCCAGCUUAGUUUAAUUUACAAGAUCAAAUGGAUGCAAUUAGCUUAAUUUUUAUAGCUCGUUCAAGGAUAUAAUUUAUUUAGUAAAAUACGUCAGGGUCCUUGAAUUUUUUUUCCUGAAUUCUCACAUAAAGGAAACUAAGUGGUUCACUCUAAAGACAAUGGUCAGAUGCACGUUCUUCUAAUUUGUUUCCCGCGAACGUAUUCGGAAGCACUCCAUGUUUUCAGCUCCACUCCAAAACCUUAAGCCAAACUCCCUGGUUCCACCAACUCCAAUUCCAGAAACAACAACAUAGACCAGGCUUGAUCCGAAUUCUGAGCAUUGCUGGGCCGGUCGUGAAAAUGUUU